GAUCCUGCUCAGGACGAACGCUGGCGGCGUGCCUAACACAUGCAAGUCGAGCGGAGACAGUGAGUAGCUUGCUAUGAGCUGUUUUAGCGGCGGACGGGUGAGUAACGCGUGAGCAACCUUUCCCAGACAGGGGAAUAACACACCGAAAGGUGUACUAAUACCACAUAAGACCACGGGAUCACAUGGUUCUGAGGUAAAAGAUUUAUCGGUUUGGGGUGGGCUCGCGUCCGAUUAGGUAGUUGGUGAGG
rnacentral:rRNA from 1 species